rnacentral:rRNA from 1 species
UACGAAGGGGGCUAGCGUUGUUCGGAAUCACUGGGCGUAAAGGGCGCGUAGGCGGCUUUGUAAGUCGGGGGUGAAAGCCUGUGGCUCAACCACAGAAUUGCCUUCGAUACUGCAUGGCUUGAGACCGGAAGAGGUAAGUGGAACUGCGAGUGUAGAGGUGAAAUUCGUAGAUAUUCGGAAGAACACCAGUGGCGAAGGCGGCUCACUGGACCGGUAUUGACGCUGAGGUGCGAAAGCGUGGGGAGCAAACAGG